rnacentral:misc_RNA from 1 species
GUUCCUGAUGAGGAUUUUGCUAAGGUAAUGUACACUCCUUUUCCUUGUACAAUUAAGAAAUGAACAUGUACAUGCAAAGCAGGGAAGACACAGUCUGCACUUUGUGUUGCUUGGCACUUAACUAAUUAUUGUGCAUUAAUUUGUGGGGCUUUUUUUCUUCAUUUGUUUCUUUCAUGCAUGAUGCCUAUGUUCAAUUACUCACUCAGUUUCGAUCUCCCUCUUUG